AUCUUACCAACUCUAGCAUAUUCAUGCAUUUAAAACUGUAAAAUCAAUCAAUAAGUUAAAACAUGAUAAACAGUAAUAAAUAAUCGAUUUUGGCUCCAUAACAGGGAAUAAGAUGAGGGAUUCUUAUACGAAUCAGUGUUUGAAACACUAUUUCAGCUGCGCCUAUUAGCAGUCCCCGGGUUCUGUGAACUUUUCUUUGGAGAUUAAAACACGCUUCAAGUACCUAAAAAUAUCCCAAAAAUGCAAAAUCAGUGUUAAAACCCCUUUCCAGCCAAUUUCAGAAUUUCGGCAUGGUAGCACUGCCAUGCUCCGGCGACGGCACCGUCACCCGCUAUGGUGGUUUGCCUUGGACUGGCCAUUUUCGGCCAGUUUUGACUGAUUUUUACCGAUUUUAUACUCAUACAUGCGAGAAAACACGAUAAAGGGCCUCAGUUGGCCGAAAAAGGU
rnacentral:lncRNA from 1 species